rnacentral:rRNA from 1 species
GAUAAACGCUGGCGGCGUGCCUAAUACAUGCAAGUCGAGCGAACAGACGAGGAGCUUACUCCUCUGACGUUAGCGGCGGACGGGUGAGUAACACGUGGAUAACCUACCUAUAAGACUGGGAUAACUUCGGGAAACCGGAGCUAAUACCGGAUAACAUGUUGAACCGCAUGGUUCAACAGUGAAAGACGGUCUUGCUGUCACUUAUAGAUGGAUCCGCGUCGCAUUAGCUAGUUGGUAAGGUAACGGCUUACCAAGGCAACGAUGCGUAGCCGACCUGAGAGGGUGAUCGGCCACACUGGAACUGAGACACGGUCCAGACUCCUACGGGAGGCAGCAGUAGGGAAUCUUCCGCAAUGGGCGAAAGCCUGACGGAGCAACGCCGCGUGAGUGAAGAAGGUCUUCGGAUCGUAAAACUCUGUUAUUAGGGAAGAACAAAUGUGUAAGUAACUAUGCACGUCUUGACGGUACCUAAUCAGAAAGCCACGGCUAACUACGUG